ensembl:snRNA U6 U6 spliceosomal RNA
ACGCUCAUUUCGGUAGCACACAUUCUAGAAUUGGAAUGAUACAGAGAUCAGCAUGGCCCCUGUGCAAAGAUGACAUGCAAAUUUGUGAAGCAUUACAUAUAUAA